rnacentral:rRNA from 1 species
UUGAAGAGUUUGAUGACGGCUCAGAUUGAACGCUCGCGGCAGGCCUAACACAUGCAAGUCGAGCGGUAGCACAAGAGAGCUUGCUCUCUGGGUGACAAGCGGCGGACAGAUGAGUAAUGUUUGGAAAACUGCCUGAUGGUAGGGGAUUGCUAGUGGAAACAUUAUCUAAUACCGCUUAACGUCGCAAGACCAAAGUAGGGGACCUUCGAGCCUCACGCCAUCAGAUGUGCCCAGGUGGAAUUAGCUGGCAAGUGAGGUAACGGAUCACCUAGGCGACGAUCCCUAGCUGGUCUGAGAAGAUGACCAGCCACACUAAAACUGAGACACAGUCCAGACUCCUACAGGAAGCAGCAGUGAGGAAUAUUGCACAAUAGGCGCAAGCCCGAUGCAGCCAUGCCGCGUGCGUGAAAAAGGCUUUUGGGUUGUAAAGCACUUUCAGCGAGGAGGAAAGGUAAUGUGUUAAUAAGACAUUGCAUUGACGUUACUCGCAGAAGAAGCACCGGCUAACUCCGUGCCAGCAGCCGUAGUAAUACAACGUGCAAGCGUUAAUCAGAAUUACUGGGCGUAAAGCGCACGCAGGCGGUUUGUUAAGUCAGAUGUAAAAUCCCCGCGCUCAACGUGAAAACGGCAUUUGAGACUGGCAAGCUAGAGUCCUGUAGAGGAGGGUAAAAUUCCAGGUGUAGCAGUAAAAUGCGUAAAUAUCUAAAGAAAUACCGGCGGUAAAGGCAGCCACCUAGACAAAAACUGACCCUCAGGUGCGAAAGCGUGAGGAGCAAACAAAAUUAGAUACCCUGGUAGUCCACGCUGUAAACGAUGUCGAUUUGGAGGCUGUUGUCUUGAGAGGUAGACUCCGUAGCUAACGCGUUAAAUCGACCGCCUGGGGAGUACGGCCGCAAGGUUAAAACUCAAAUGAAUUGACGGGGGCCUGCACAACCGGUGAAGCACGUGGUUUAAUUCGAUGCAACGCAAAAAGCCUCGCAUGCUCUUGACAUCCAGAAAACUUUCCAGAGAUGAGAUGAAAGGGCGCUUUCGAGAGCUCCGAGACAGGUGCUGCAUGGCUGUCGUCAGCUCGUGUUGUGAAAUGUUGAGUUAAGUCCCGCAACAAACGCAACCCUUAUCCCUUGCUGCCAGCGAUAAAGUCGAGAACUAAAACGAGACUGCCGGUAAUAAACCGGAGAAAAGUGAGGAUGACGUCAAGUCAUCAUGGCCCUUACGAGCAAGGCUACACACAUGCUACAAUAGCGUAUACAAAGAGAAGCGACCUCGCGAAAGCAAGCGGACCUCACAAAGUACGUCGUAGUCAGGACUAAAGUCUGCAACCCGACUCCACAAAGUCAAAAUCGCUAGUAAUCGUAAAUCAGAAUGCUGCGGUGAAUACGCUCCCGGGCCUUGUACACAACGCCCGUUACACCAUGGGGGUAGGUUGCAAAAGAAGUAGUAGCUUAACCUUCUGGAGAGCCCCUAGCACCUUGUAAUUCAUGACUGGGGUGAAGUCGUAACAAGGUAACCGUAGGGGAAGCUGCGAUUAGAUCACCUCCUUUC